AUUUAGUGAGGUCUUUGGACUCGUGCGCGGUGUUUCGCUCGCGUUCGCGCGCGCGCGAUCCUUCGCAGUCGCGAGGAAGACGACCGAACUUAAUCGUUUAGAGGAAGUAAAAGUCGUAACAAGGUUUCCGUAGGUGAACCUGCGGAAGGAUCAUUA
rnacentral:ncRNA from 1 species